AGCGAACGCUGGCGGCAGGCCUAACACAUGCAAGUCGAACGAACCUUUCGGGGUUAGUGGCGGACGGGUGAGUAACACGUUGGAACGUGCCUUUAGGUUCGGAAUAACUCAGGGAAACUUGUGCUAAUACCGAAUGUGCCCUUCGGGGGAAAGAUUUAUCGCCUUUAGAUCGGCCCGCGUCUGAUUAGCUAGUUGGUUGAGGUAAUGGCUCACCAAGUCGACGAUCAGUAGCUGGUCUGAGAGGAAGAUCAGCCACAUUUGGACUGAGACACGGCCCAAACUCCUACGGGAGGAAGCAGUGGGGAAUCUUGCGCAAUGGGAGAAAGCCUGAAGAAGCAAUGACGGGUGAAUGAUGAAGGUCUUAGGAUAGUAAAAUUCUUUCACCGGGGACGAUAAUGACGGUACCCGGAGAAGAAGCCCCGGCUAACUUCGUG
rnacentral:rRNA from 1 species